rnacentral:rRNA from 1 species
GACAGAGGGUGCAAACGUUGUUCGGAAUUACUGGGCGUAAAGCGCGUGUAGGCGGCCAUGCAAGUCGGAUGUGAAAGCCCUCGGCUCAACCGGGGAAGUGCACUCGAAACUGCAAGGCUAGAGUCUCGGAGAGGAUCGUGGAAUUCUCGGUGUAGAGGUGAAAUUCGUAGAUAUCGAGAGGAACACCGGUGGCGAAGGCGGUUCUCUGGGCCUUACCUGACGCUGAGGAGCGAAAGCGUGGGGAGCGAACAGG